rnacentral:misc_RNA from 1 species
UUUCCGUAGGUGAACCUGCGGAAGGAUCAUUGUCGAAACCUGCCCAGCAGAACGACCCGCGAACUUGUAUAAACAACCGGGGGCGGGGGGCGUUCUCGCCCCGUGCCCCCGAACGGCGGGGAGACACUCGUGCCUUCUUGCCGAACAACGAACCCCGGCGCGGUCUGCGCCAAGGAACUUCAACUAAAGAGUGCCUCCGGUCGCCUCGGAAACGGCGUGCGUGCCGGGGGCGAAUCUUGUGCAUAACCAUAACGACUCUCGGCAACGGAUAUCUCGGCUCUC